UUUUACCUACGGGGGGCAGCAGUGAGGAAUAUUGGUCAAUGGACGAGAGUCUGAACCAGCCAAGUAGCGUGAAGGAUGACUGCCCUAUGGGUUGUAAACUUCUUUUAUAUGGGAAUAAAAUGUUCCACGUGUGGGAUUUUGUAUGUACCAUAUGAAUAAGGAUCGGCUAACUCCGUGCCAGCAGCCGCGGUAAUACGGAGGAUGCGAGCGUUAUCCGGAUUUAUUGGGUUUAAAGGGUGCGCAGGCGGAAGAUCAAGUCAGCGGUAAAAUUGAGAGGCUCAACCUCUUCGAGCCGUUGAAACUGG
rnacentral:rRNA from 1 species